GUUCUGUCGCUAAUCAUCUCAGUUCGGAUGUGGAAAGUUCUUCUGUGCUGUAUGCAAAGGCACCUGUCAUCUUGGCUAUUGGAAGAAAUAUCACCAGACCGGAGCACAGCCAUCUCUCCGUCGUGAUUGGAGGCAUCGUGGAAGCACCCCAGCGACCAAACGUGACCAUCCAAUGUCCUGUAAAAGACUCUAGGUCCACCCACAUGUCUACAAAUGACCCAAUUUUGCUCGACAUCACUAAUUAUUAGAGAAAUGCAAAUCAAAACUACAAUGAGGUAUCACGUCACACCGGUCAGAAUGGCCGUCUCCAAGAAGAGCCCGAACGCUUUCAAUUCGAUACACUCUUCCGAGCACCUCCUACAUGCUCAGCUGACAGCAAGGAGCUCCCAGAAUGACGCGAUACUGACCAUGACAUAACGUUGUCAAUGCAAUAGUGUCCGCACGAAUAAAA